rnacentral:rRNA from 1 species
UACGUAGGUGGCAAGCGUUACUCGGAAUCACUAGGCGUAAAGCGCAGGUAGGCGGUUUGGCAAGUCCGUUGUGAAAGCUCCCGGCUUAACUGGGAGAGGUCAACGGAAACUGCUGGGCUAGAGUGUGGUAGAGGAAACUAGAAUUCCCGGUGUAGCGGUGAAAUGCGUAGAUAUCGGGAGGAAUACCUAUGGCGAAAGCAGGUUUCUGGGCCACCACUGACGCUGAGCUGCGAAAGCUAGGGGAGCAAACAGGAUUAGAAACCCCAGUAGUCC